rnacentral:rRNA from 1 species
CAGUAGCCGCGGUAAUACGUAGGUGGCGAGCGUUGUCCGGAAUCAUUGGGCGUAAAGGGAGCGCAGGCGGGCAUGUAAGUCUUACUUAAAAGUGCGGGGCUCAACCCCGUGAUGGGAGAGAAACUAUCGGUCUUGAGUACAGGAGAGGAAAGCGGAAUUCCAUGUGUAGCGGUGAAAUGCGUAGAUAUAUGGAGGAACACCGGUGGCGAAAGCGGCUCUCUGGUCUGUAACUGACGCUGAGGCUCGAAAGCGUGGGGAGCGAACAGGAUUAGAUACCCCUGUAGUCCCUGUCUCUUAUACC